UUUUUUUCCCUCCUCUUCUUCCUUCUCCUCCUCUUCCCCUUGUCAUUCCUCUUUACAGCUCACAUCAGCCACUCCUGGGGGAUCUGAAAGCAAAAUCCAAUAACAGCUACAAAGACUUCAAUGGCAACAAGCCAAAGGACUUCAAGUCCCAGCAGAACAGUCAAUUGAUCUCAGAGUCCUCCAGAAUAGACAACAGACAUCUCCAGUCCUGUAAGAAACCUGAAAAUACAUCCCGUUCAGGCCAAAUUUCAAGCCCAGCUUUGUGGAACAAGGAGAAAGUUGGCAGCCAUCUGCUCCGGAAGUCUCUAGAAUAUUCCUCCUCCAGUGACGAAAUCUGCAGCAGCGAUGAGGAUGAGGAGGGUGAUGGGCACAUAAGGCAACUGCUCGGCAACGGAGUGACCAGCUUCUCAAGGGCAGGAGUUGCUGACGGGAUCGAGCUGAACUCUCCCAGCCUUAUAGCGGAUCGCCAGGAUAAUGCUGCAGGAAAAUAUGGCUGUGACG
rnacentral:lncRNA from 1 species